rnacentral:rRNA from 1 species
GAUGAACGCUGGCGGCGUGCCUAAUACAUGCAAGUCGAGCGAACAGACGAGGAGCUUGCUCCUCUGACGUUAGCGGCGGACGGGUGAGUAACACGUGGAUAACCUACCUAUAAGACUGGGAUAACUUCGGGAAACCGGAGCUAAUACCGGAUAAUAUAUUGCACCGCAUGGUUCAAUAGUGAAAGACGGUUUUGCUGUCACUUAUAGAUGGAUCCGCGCCGCAUUAGCUAGUUGGUAAGGUAACGGCUUAUCAAGGCAACGAUGCGUAGCCGACCUGAGAGGGUGAUCGGCCACACUGGAACUGAGACACGGUCCAGACUCCUACGGGAGGCAGCAGUAGGGAAUCGUCCGCAAUGGGCGAAAGCUUGACGGAGCAACGCCGCGUGAGUGAUGAAGGUCUUCGGAUCGUAAAACUCUGUUAUUAGGGAAGAACAAAUGUGUAAGUAACUAUGCACGUCUUGACGGUAACUAAUCAGAAAGCCACGGCUAACUACGUG